rnacentral:rRNA from 1 species
CCUACGGUGGGCAGCAGUGAGGCAUAUUGGUCAAUGGACGGAAGUCUGAACCAGCCAUGCCGCGUGCAGGACGACGGCUCUAUGAGUUGUAAACUGCUUUUGUACAAGGGUAAACCUGAAUACGUGUAUUCAGCUGAAAGUACUGUACGAAUAAGGAUCGGCUAACUCCUUGCCAGCAGCCGCGGUAAUACGGAGGAUCCAAGCGUUAUCCGGAUUUAUUGGGUUUAAAGGGUGCGUAGGCGGAUUGAUAAGUUAGAGGUGAAAUGUCCGAGCUUAACUCGGGAACUGCCUCUAAUACUGUGGAGCUAGAGAGUAGAUGCGGUAGGCGGAAUGUAUAGUGGAGCGGUGAAAUGCUGAGAGAUCAGACAGAACACCGAUUGCGAAGGCAGCGUACCAAUCUAUAUCUGACGUGGAGGCACGAAAGCGUGGGGAGCAAACAGGAGUAGAUACCCGGGUAGUC